rnacentral:rRNA from 1 species
AAUGAACGUUGGCGGCGUGGAUUAGGCAUGCAAGUCGAGCGAGAUAGGUUUGGUGCUUGCAUUGAACCUUGAAAGCGGCGAACGGGAGAGUAACGCGUAGGGCACCUACCCUCAGGCCUGGGAUAGCGGCGGGAAACUGCCGGUAAUACCGGAUAAUGUCUCCGGACCAAAGGUGUGAUUCCGCCUGAGGAUGGUCCUGCGUCCUAUUAGUUAGUUGGUGAGGUAACGGCUCACCAAGACCGUGAUGGGUAGCGGGCGUGAGAGCGUGGCCCGUCUCACUGGGACUGAGACACUGCCCAGACACCUACGGGUGGCUGCAGUCGAGAAUCUUCCGCAAUGGGCGCAAGCCUGACGGAGCGACGCCGCGUGCGGGAUGAAGGCCUUCGGGUUGUAAACCGCUGUCAGUGGGGUGGAAAUCGGAUGGGGCACUCCCCUUCCGUUGACCUAACCGCAGAGGAAGUCCGGGCUAAGUACGUGCCAGCCGCCGCGGUAAGAC